GUUUUAUUUUAUAACUUUAUAACGACUGCUCUGUGUUUCUUUGCAGCAGGCAGCAGUGACUACAUCUAUAUCUAUCACAGAGCUGGAGAUGACGUCAUCAUGUCCUGUAACAAUGUGAAUUCAUCUGAAACAUCAUGCUCUAGCAUUAAAUGGCUGUACUACAGAGACAGAUCUACUAUUGAUAUCAUUGUUAGUGAUGGACAGAUUCAUGAAGAUUCACCUCAAGCUGCUAAACUGAGUCUGGGCCUUAGAUGUUCUUUGACCAUCACAAACAUCUCCUCUGAGGACGCAGGACGUUACAUCUGUUACUAUGGGAACACAAGUGAUCCUGACACAUAUCUGAACAUUUUAACACUCUCAGCAAAUCAAAGCACCGAUCCAGUGGGAGGAGUCACACUGACGUGCACUCUGUGGAGGUUCACAUACAUCUAUUGUGUAAAAGGCAGCCUGAGAUGGCUGGAUGAGGAGAGAGAUGAACUGAAGCAAGAUGAUGAUGAAGUCUAUUAUAGUAGACAGAAGAAAUGUGUUUCUGAUCUGAUAAUAACACAUCAGAGUAACCACAACAGAAGAUACACCUGCCACUUUGUUAUAAACAAUAAAAUGAAGAUAUCUGCCGACUACACACUUGUGUCUACAGCUCCAGUUGAUUUAACGUCUGAUUCGACUCCAAACAAGAUCAUCUUCAUCAUCAUCAUCGUAGCCUCAGUCGGACUGUUGACCAUCCUGGUCAUAGUUGGUCUGACUGUUUUCAUCAAAUCCAGGAGGAAAACUGGAGCAGCAGAAGAAGAUUCCUCCACCUUCACUGCUGACUGCUCAUGGAGGAACGUGGGCUCCUCAUGGAGGGACGUGGGCUCCUCAUGGAGGGUCGUGGGCUCCUCAUGGAGGGUCGUGGGCUCCUCAUGAAGGAACGUGGGCUCCUCAUUUAGAGACGUGGUCUUGUCAGGGAGGGACGUGUGCUCCUCAUGGAGGGACGUGGGCUCUUCAGUGAGAGACUUGGGCUCCACAUGGAGUGACGUGGGCUCCUCAUGGAAGGUCGUGGGCUCCUCAUUUAGAGACGUGGUCAUGUCAGUUAGAGACGUGGGCUCCUCAUGGAGGGACUUGGUCUCGUCAGGGAGAGACGUUGGCUCCUCAUGGAGGGUCGUGGGCUCCUCAUGGAGGAACGUGGGCUCCUCAGGGAGGGACUUGGUAUCAUCUUGUUUCCCCCGAGGCUGAAACAAAGCUGUGAUCUGUUCAGCUGUAACUUCAGCAACGUGGUGCAUCAACUGUGGAGAAAAUGAGUUCAGCAUCUUCCUCCUGAUGUCUUCGGGGUAGGCUUCAUGAAGUGUCUUUAUGAUGGAGGUGAUCAUCUCAUCCCUGGUUGAGCGGGACAUGCUGACUUCAUGCGUGGUGGAGCCUAGAGCAGCUAGAACACCAUCUUCUACCCCUUUGGUGACUCCAACUGCCAUCUUAUCCAGCUUCAUGGAAGGCAUGGUGAGGAACAACCUUGGUUUAGGCACCCACAAGCCCUGAAGCACCUUUGGAACCACGUCCAAAACCACGUCCCGGGGCUGCUGGAGAUGUUCAGAGCAGGAGGUUUGCUGAUGCCUCUCAGUGAGCGCCUCCCCAAUGGCCUUUGCCUCUCGCUUCAUCUUUGCUGAUCUAUGAAAUGAAAUCAUAAAGUUAGCUUCAAAACAGCCCAAAGCAGCAGGUGUUUAAAGUGCAAAUGUCUGUCAAAUAUAACCAGAGGUGAAAGUAAUGGAUUACAAAUACUAAUGUUACUGUAAUUGAGUUGAUUUUAUGGGUACUUGUGCUUCUUUCAGUAUAUUUCUAAAUCCGUAAUUUUACAUGUACUUCAGUACGUUUUUCAAGAAAUAAAGUCAUUCGUUGCAUUUUUAAACCCA
ensembl:lncRNA